UACGUAGGUGGCGAGCGUUGUCCGGAAUUAUUGGGCGUAAAGCGCGCGCAGGCGGGAUAUUAAGUCUAUUCUAAAAGUGCGGGGCUCAACCCCGUGAUGGGAUGGAAACUAAUAUUCUUGAGUGCCGGAGAGGAAAGCGGAAUUCCCAGUGUAGCGGUGAAAUGCGUAGAUAUUGGGAGGAACACCAGUGGCGAAGGCGGCUUUCUGGACGGUGUCUGACGCUGAGGCGCGAAAGCCAGGGGAGC
rnacentral:rRNA from 1 species